GGAACAACAGCUGGAAACGGCUGCUAAUACCGCAUACGCCCGGUAACGGGGAAAGCUUUAUGCGCUCUAGAGGAACCUGCGUCCGAUUAGCCUAGUUGGAGGGGUAACGGCCCACCAAGGCGACUAUCGGUAGCUGGUCUGAGAGGAUGAUCAGCCACACUGGGACUGAGACACGGCCCAGACUCCUACGGGAGGCAGCAGUGGGGAAUAUUGGACAAUGGGGGCAACCCUGAUCCAGCAAUGCCCGCGUGCGUGAAGAAAGCCGGGGUAAUACCGA
rnacentral:rRNA from 1 species